rnacentral:rRNA from 1 species
GAUGAACGCUAGCUACAGGCUUAACACAUGCAAGUCGAGGGGAAACGAUAGAGAAAGCUUGCUUUUUCUAGGCGUCGACCGGCGCACGGGUGAGUAACGCGUAUCCAACCUGCCCAUCACUUGGGGAUAACCUUGCGAAAGUAAGACUAAUACCCAAUGAUAUCUCAAGAAGGCAUCUGAAUGAGAUUAAAGAUUUAUCGGUGAUGGAUGGGGAUGCGUCUGAUUAGCUUGUUGGCGGGGUAACGGCCCACCAAGGCGACGAUCAGUAGGGGUCCUGAGAGGCAGGUCCCCCAAAUUGGAACUGAGACACGGUCCAAACUCCUACGGGAGGCAGCAGUGAGGAAUAUUGGUCAAUGGGCGAGAGCCUGAACCAACCAAGUAGCGUGCAGGAUGACGGCCCUAUGGGUUGUAAACUGCUUUUAUAAGGGAAUAAAGUGAGCCUCGUGAGGCUUUUUGCAUGUACCUUAUGAAUAAGGACCGGCUAAUUCCGUGCCAGCCGCCGCCGUAA